CUGCCGUUAAAAAACUAAAUUCAGUGGGUAAAUGUGAAAGUCUAAUUGGCCUUAUUAAACAAUUUGUGAAUUGGAAUCAUUGAACAAGUGGGGGGGGGGGGAAGGAGCCUUCUGCUGAGCUAAAAGAAAGCUUUCAAAGGCAGAGAGGGGACAUCAAGAAAAGAAAGAAAAGAAGGAAGGAAGGAAGGAAGAAAAAAACAAAGGAAUUUAGUAGCAAGGAAUGCCUUGCUUAGGAGAGGCUGCCCUCUUAAGGAGAGGGGAAGGGGCCUGUCAGUAAACUUCCAAGCCCUGACCAAGAAAUUCUACGUUGACUGCUUAAAGGUUACAUUCCGGGGAAGUUGAAACUGCAGGUGAUGUAGUCAACCAUCCAGAUUUAAAAUAUACGAACUCCUAAAGCGUGCCCACCCUUCCGCAGUUCAACGGAGCUUCAGCCUGGAGGAGUACGGCCUCUCGCAGCCCACCCUGGAGCAGGUGACUCUAGCUUUGCAGGAACUGUAGAUUCCUCCUUUGAGUGCUCAUCAAAUAUUUAAAAAGUCCCUGAUAGCAGCAUAAAGAGGAACCUUCACCGGUUCAGUUGCAGCUCUACAGGGAAAGGUUUGUGGGGAUACAUUCAACUCCUUACAUUGUGAAAGAACGAUUCAAUUUUGAAAAUAUCUUCUUGCGUUACUUUGGAUAGGAAUAUUUGUUGGAGGGGGCUAUCAGGAAGACCCCGGGGUUGGCCGCAGCAGUCAGAGGCUGCUCGCCCCUCCCCUGUCCCUGGAACGUAGCCCCCAUCCACCACGCCCACCACGGGAGCCAUUUUGAAGGUCACAACCUUGAGAGAGCAACGUGCUGCUGAGACCAUUUGGAGGGUUUACGUGAUCGAACCCCGUUAAGGACUCUGGGUAAACAUUUAAGAUUCUGGCCUGGGUGCAGACAUCUACUCGUCUGGAGGUGUGGGACACAAGCCUUAUAAGAACUGGCUGAAAAGAAGUGAAAACACCCCAGCAGUCCAAGAGAGAUCAUGUGAAUGUGAGGUUUGGCAGGACCUGCGGGACUGAGGUCAGAACUUCUGAAGGCUGUCUUCGCAGGAACUUUUCACAGAAGUCAAACAGUUAAAGCAAAUUGCAGAGAGGUGGUAGAGACCGGGGUGGGGGGAACAUGUGAACUGUUUUCUUCUAAACAAGGACGUCAGUGGAUAAAGUGUGAUUCUGGAUUCCUUGGUUCAGAUUUCUCAAGAGUAAGUUCGUUUUAUUUUUUCUGGUCUGUGACUUGUGUUUCGGGCUUUUCUUUCUUUCUUUUUUCUUUUCUCCUUAUCACAAAUUUAUAAAUUUGGAUGCUACCCCUCUGUGGAGAAAUUAUUUUGAAAAUUAAUGGGCUGUUUUGAUGUUUUGAGUACUCCAUGUUUAACAUGAUGGAAGCGACGGCAUUGAGUUAAAAUACAAAGGUGUAAAAAUCAUACAACUCUUAAUAUGAUUUUUCACCAGAAACUGAGUGUGGAAAUAAGCUGAACUUUGCUUAACAUGUUGAUCAGGAAGAAGUAGGGAUCUUGAGAACAGAUUUGUAAACCUGAAUUGUUUUUGAA